CAGGAGUUGCUGCGUUCGAGUAAGACUGGGACAGUGCUGCACCUUGUGAACGAAAAGAUGUUUCCCUUCUGAGAUGACUAUUUUUCUUCAGUGCCUUCUUGGAUCCUAGAAGGGGAAAAAAUGACUAGUUGCUGGGGCAUCAUGUGGGAUCUUAAUUCCCCAACCGAGGACUGAACCUGCACCUCCUGUAGUGGGGGACAGCGUCUUAACUACUGGACUGUCAGGGAAGUCCCUGUAUAUUCUUCAAGGUGGCAGAUGAUACCAAAUAUUGGAACUUCUGAAAUUCUGCCUGGUAGUCUGCAUUCUAGGAGAAGCACUGUUGAUUUGAACAGGGAAGAUCCUUCUGGAGAAUUGGAAGAAUCUGAUUACACUGCUCUUCUGUCUCAUUCAUCCUUGCAUUCAUCCCUGCUGCUGAAGACAAAGGCUUUUUCCUUUAUCCUUUGCUGCCUGCCUCAGCCUCUUUACUUCUAAAGUCUUACAGGAUUCCAGGCUAGUGCUGCUUGGUCCUGCUCAGCCUUAGCCCUUGGUCCUAUUCUCUGUGUCGGCCCAGCCAUGGCACUCUUCUGCCCUUCUCUUAUCCUGGCUUCCUCGGUGGCCUCUCACUGCUGUGGCCUCUGCUCCGGACGUGCAUGCUCAGCGGCCAUGGCUCACGAGCCCAGCCGCUCUGCGGCAUGUGGGAUCUUCCCGGACCGGGGCACGAACCUGUGUCCCCUGCAUCGGACAGCACUGUUGAUUUGAACAUGGAAGAUCCUUCUGGAGAAUUGGAAGAAUUGAGGCGGACUCUCAACCCCUGUGCCACCAGGGAAGCCCUGGACCUCACAAAAGUUCUUAAAAUCUCCAGAUUCUUGAGGGCUCCAUAGGAAGUCAAUUGUAUUAUGCUUCUAGACCUCAUACAUGUCCCUUUCACUGUUUGUCCUGUGAACAUGUGAGCUGCAUGUCUGUUACCUCCCUGACAGAUUGUUGAAAACACUUUAUAGAGUUAUUUAAGAUUCAAAGAAGCCCAGUGUAGUAGUCUGUGUGAGCUUAGAUCUUAGAGACAGGAGAUUCCAUUUUUAAAUCAUUUGUUGGUGUUCACAUCCUACUAUCCUUGUGUGUCACCGUACUAGUGGAUGCUGAAAAUUAUUUUCUUAUCUCCCCUUUACGCAAAGGUUCCAGUUGCUCCCUAACUAGGGUCAUGCUUCCUAAAGACAUGAGCUGGUUUCCAAGAAAGCAGAUUUCAGCUUUAUCCCUUGGCAGAGAGAAUGGAGUCAUUGCACACAGGCCAAAACAUUCUUUCUGCCAGAGCUUCCCAUCUGGAAGAAAAGAGAAAAAGAGUUUCAGAGUUUCCAUAAGGGCUGCCUAAAAAUGGGAGGGAGGAAUAGUGAGCCAUAGGGAGGGGAGAAGAAAGCUACAGGGCUGGAACCCCAAGCUCCAUUGUCUGGAAAGAAUGUCAGAUUCCACAGGCCUAAAACCCUGGACUAGCAGCACCUACCUUUCCCUUCCUCCUAACCCUUAGCCAGGAUUUAUUUUGUACCCCAUUCCUUUACCUUUCACAUAUAUUUAUCCGUCCUGCCUAUCCCAUCUCAAGAAUUUUCCCUCUAUUCUUUGUUUUGAUGUACCUCCCUUCCAAUUUUGUGCUUUCUGUAUGGACAACUCCGAAAUGUUCCUAGACUACUUUAAUGCGUCUCACAAAAAUAAGAUUGCAGCGUUAGAAGGAACUUUCUCAUAACCUGUGAUGUACAGAAGGACUUCAGUGGGUCCAGGAAGCCUCUGAAAUUGAAUGUCGGUUUAGUCCAUAUAUGCAUCUUUCUGGCAAGAAGGCCUGUAGCUUCUAUCAAGUUCUCAUAUCUAACGUUCAGAUCCCUGCUGUUGACCCUGUAGUUCAGUGUGUUUCGGUGUAAGUCUGGGAACCCAAGUUAAUUUUGGAACCUAGAUCAUGACUUCCAUUUUUUAAAAUGAAUAAAAUAGAAAAUAUCAAUGUGGGACUUUCCUGGUGGCGCAGUGGUUAAGAAUCCGCCUGCCAGUGCAGGAGACAUAGGUUCGAACCCUGGUCCAGGGAGAUCCCACAUGCUGCAGAGCAACUAAUCCCGUGCGCCACAACUACUGAGACAAUGCUCUAGAGCCCGCGAGCCACAACUGCUGAGCCCGUGUGCCACAACUACUGAAGCCCACACGCUUAGAGCCUAUGCUCUGCAACAGCAGAAGCCACCACAAUGAGAAGCCCACACACUGCAACGAAGAGUAGCCCCCGCUAGCUGCAACUAGAGAAAGCCCACGCGCAGCAACAAAGACCCAAUGAAGCCAAAAAUAAAUAACUGAAUAAAUAAAUUUAUUAAAAAGAAAAUAUCAAUGUGUAUCACACAUAGU